AGGUUAACUGUUUAGAGGAGAUACAGACACUAUAUGAGUUAGGUUAACUGUUUAGAGGAGAUACAGACACUAUAUGAGGUAGGUUAACUGUUUAGAGGAGAUACAGACACUAUAUGAGUUAGGUUAACUGUUUAGAGGAGAUACAGACACUAUAUGAGUUAGGUUAACUGUUUAGAGGAGAUACAGACACUAUAUGAGUUAGGUUAACUGUUUAGAGGAGAUACAGACACUAUAUGAGUUAGGUUAACUGUUUAGAGGAGAUACAGACACUAUAUGAGUUAGGUUAACUGUUUAG